UCAGAAGCGAGCGAGCUGAUGCUGGAAAUGCUUUAUAUAUCGUCUUGCUUAACAAGUGACAGUAUUGAUAAUUUAAUCACGAGCGACAUACGCUCAAUUAGUUCACAUCAAUGCACGGGAGUUAUCGUUUUAAUUAGAAAUCCAAUUAACCAAACCUCGGCAAAGAUUCAUAAUCUACUCCUGAUAUUCCAUUUAAUUUGAAAUGUCAAGAGAUAUCUUCUGAAGGGAAGGAAGAAAUUCGAUGAAGAAAAGUUUGAGAUUUAACUGGAUAUCGUGGAACAAUUAAACCUAUCCAGGAAACAAAGCUAAAUCGGAUAUAGUAGACCCAGAAAUCGCACACUUGUUGCAUCUAGAAAUACUAUAGUCAUUUAUCGCGUUGUAUACGCGUCUAUGUAACUCGCAAUUAAAAAUACAUUUCAUUGACUGUGCUUUCA